rnacentral:rRNA from 1 species
UACGGAGGGUGCGAGCGUUGUCCGGAAUCACUGGGCGUAAAGGGCGCGUAGGUGGCCUGAUAAGUAGGGGGUGAAAUCCUGCGGCUUAACCGCAGGGCUGCCUUCUAAACUGUCAGGCUGGAGCACAGUAGAGGCAGGUGGAAUUCCCGGUGUAGCGGUGGAAUGCGUAGAGAUCGGGAAGAACAUCAGUGGCGAAGGCGGCCUGCUGGGCUGUUGCUGACGCUGAGGCGCGACAGCGUGGGGAGCAAACAGG